GAUGAACGCUAGCGGCAGGCUUAACACAUGCAAGUCGAGGGGUAGUAUAGCAAUAUAUGAGACCGGCGCACGGGUGCGUAACGCGUAUGCAACCUGCCUUUCACAGAGGGAUAGCCCAGAGAAAUUUGGAUUAAUACCUCAUGGCAUAUAGAGAUGGCAUCAUUUUUAUAUUAAAGUCACAACGGUGAAAGAUGGGCAUGCGUCCCAUUAGCUUGAUGGUAAGGUAACGGCUUACCAUGGCAACGAUGGGUAGGGGUCCUGAGAGGGAGAUCCCCCACACUGGUACUGAGACACGGACCAGACUCCUACGGGAGGCAGCAGUGAGGAAUAUUGGUCAAUGGGCGCAAGCCUGAACCACGCCAUGCCGCCGUGCAGGAUGAAGCAUCUAUGGUGUGUAAACUG
rnacentral:rRNA from 1 species